rnacentral:rRNA from 1 species
UACGUAGGGCGCAAGCGUUGUCCGGAAUUAUUGGGCGUAAAGAGCUCGUAGGCGGCUUGUCACGUCGGGUGUGAAAGCCCGGGGCUUAACCCCGGGUCUGCAUUCGAUACGGGCUAGCUAGAGUGUGGUAGGGGAGAUCGGAAUUCCUGGUGUAGCGGUGAAAUGCGUAGAUAUCGGAAGGAACAUCAGUGGCGAAAGCGACUUCCUGGACCAGUACCGACGUUCAGGCACGAAAGCGUGGGGAGCAAACAGG